CCAGGGACCUCCCUUGGGAGAUCAAUCCCCUGUCCUCCUGCUCUUUGCUCCAAGAGAAAGAUCCACCUACGACCUCAGGUCCUCAGACCGACCAGCCCAAGAAACGUUUCACCAAUUUCAAAUCCAAAAAGAAAACUGAGGCUGAAGAGGACAAAAACAUUGCGGAUGGUCAGAAAAAGUAGUCAGUGGAUGACACCAGAACACAAAUUAGCUGGAGGAAAAGAAUAAAAAGGAAAUUACUCUGCCCAGCUAUCAGCAACUGGGGAAGAAUAGGAGGAAUGUUGAUCACUCUCUAACAGAUUGGCAUCUUUGAAAACAAAAGACACUGACGGUUCAGAACUUCUACUGGAAAAGUCUAUGGAGCAACACUCUCUGCUUUUCACAUAUG
ensembl:lncRNA novel transcript